rnacentral:lncRNA from 1 species
UUGCUCGAUAAACCGAGUUGGAGUAUUAAUUGGGUUGAAGUGAGUUAGUUUCGGGGACGAAACUCUUUUAAGGAGGGGAGGAUGUAAGGUACCGGACUUCUAAAACUGAUAAGUUACGGUGUACAUUCGAUUGGAGAGCUAUUUGAAUGGUUUCAGUGAAGUUCGGUGAAGUUCGGGAGCAAUCGGGCGUUUCGGCGCGCGUAGGCGCGGAAACGGAACCCGAAAGG